rnacentral:lncRNA from 1 species
GCUCAGCGGUUAGCGAACCCGACUUGCAUCCAUGAGGACACCAGUGCUAUCCCUGGCCUCAUUCAGUGGGUUAAGGAUCUGGCGUUGCGGAGAGCUGUGGUGUCUGAGCCCUGCUCAGAUCCCGAGUUGCUGUGGCCUUGGUGUAGGCCAGCAGCUGUAGCUCCGAUUGGACUCCUAGCCUGGGAACCUCCAUAUACCUUUGGUGCAGCCCUAAAAGACAAACAGACCAAAAAAAAAAAAAAAAAAAAAAAAAGAAAGAAAUUAAUAAUGUCAAGUAAAUAUUUUUACAAGAUAGCUAAGUGGUCUCCAUAACUAGAGUGCCUGGAUUUGAAUCUCAGCUUCACCAGUCACUAGUCAUAUGACCUGGGGCUAGUAUGAACUCUGUGCCCCAGUUUCCUCAUCUGUAAAAUAGAGAUAAUAAUGGUAGCUUAACUCCUAGAGUUAUGAGGUGUACAUAAAUUACUCUCUCUGAGGUGCUCAGGGUACAUGGUAAGCCCUAAAAUACAAAUGGUAAAUAAUUGUUUACAACAUUUAGUGUCAUAGUGAAAUUAGAAAAUGUUGAAUUGCAAUGUUGUGUUGGUUUCAAGUGUAUGGCAAAGUGAAUCAGUCGUGCAUGCCCUUUCAUCCAUUCUUUUUCAGAUUCACUUAAGUUUUUAAAUUGUGCUUUUUUGGAGCAGUUACUAUCUGCUACUCAGGUUUCCACUACAGAUGCAAGAAGAAGGCAUCCUCAUGUUUUCUGUCUGUCUGAUUGUGGCAGCCCGGAUUGAAUGGAGGAAUACAGGGGGAAAAAAAUUAAAAAUAAAUAAAUUGUGCUUUUCGUUUUGAUUUUAAGAAGCUUUUGCAUGAUUUUUGAGUAGCAUGUAAAAACUGUUUUUUUUUUUCUGUUGCAGAUUUGGAGUUUUAAAAGCAGUUUUUACUGUCAUUAUUUUGCUGUGUCUUAAUUUGGAAGAUGGAACAACAGCCCAGACUGAGGUGAAUAAUCCUAAAUUCUUUUUCUCCUACUAUGCCUUAUAAAACUAAUUGUGACUAAGACCAUUAUGUGUGAAAUGGAUGUUACAUACUGAAGUAUGCUAUAGGAAUAGUUUGCCUGUAUUUCACUAUACUUUCCCCCAAAUGAAGGUUUAAAACACAUCAACACUUAACAAAACACACACACCUUUACGAAGUCAAAUAUUAUAAUGUAUCCCAUAACUAAAUUACAUACCUACAUUUUCUUCACUCUUAAUGAAAAAAUCUAAUUUUUUAUCCUCCAUUAUAUUCCUUAAUGAUUACUCCAUUUUCGAUUUUCAAAGAGCCACAAGUGUAAUCAAGAUAUGUUUUCGUAAUUAAGAUGCCUGAAAUUCAAUAAGCAUAAAUAUGGAAGAGAUCUUAUAGGAUUACAUAGUAAUACCCUAUUUUGAGGAAUAGACUAAUUGUUCUACCUUGGACACCUGAAAAAAACAAACUUUUUUUUUGUUAGUAACCAUAUUCUUAUGGUUAGAAAUCCUUACAGCCGUAUUAUUAGGCGUGUGAUAAAUGUCUCAGCCAGACUGUGAGCACAUGACCAAUACUUAUUAAGAACAGUAUAUUCUUUCUAACGGCUAAAUUGAAUUAUUUUUCUAACAAUUCGAAGUUUUUGCUUCAUGACCUAGUCUUCAGAGGUUGUGGUAACAUUUAAAAAUGUAGGGUUAUUUUUGGUUUUAUUUUCUAAAUGAUUUCCUUUUGCGUGUCAUUAUAGAGCGAAAUUUCUAAGUACGUAAUUAUUUUUAUUGCUUUCCUCUGGGCUCUUUCCAAGUAAUUUAAUCUUCCUUAUAUGUGGGCCAAAACUAUUAAGUUCAGUAUUCCACUUUAAAAAAAAAAACAAACAAACAGCAUUUCCUGUCGUGGCUCAGCGGUAAUGAAGGCAACUUGUAUCCAUGAGGAUGCGGGUUCAAUCUCCGGCCUCACUCAGUGGAUUAGGAUCUGGCGUUGCUGUGAGCUGUGGUAUAGUCAUAGAUUCGGCUUAGAUUCCACAUUUCUAUGGCUGUGGUGUAGGCUGGGAGCUGCAGCUCUGAUUGGACUCCUAGGCUGAGAACUUGCAUAUGCCGAGGGUAUGGCCC